GACGAACGCUGGCGGCGUGCUUAACACAUGCAAGUCGAACGGAAAGGCCCUGCUUUUGUGGGGUGCUCGAGUGGCGAACGGGUGAGUAACACGUGAGUAACCUGCCCUUGACUUUGGGAUAACUUCAGGAAACUGGGGCUAAUACCGGAUAGGAGCUCCUGCUGCAUGGGGGGGGUUGGAAAGUUUCGGCGGUUGGGGCUGGACUCGCGGCUUAUGAGCUUGUUGGUGGGGUAGUGGCUUACCAAGGCUUUGACGGGUAGCCGGCCUGGGAGGGUGACCGGCCACAUUGGGACUGAGAUACGGCCCAGACUCCUACGGGAGGCAGCAGUGGGGAAUAUUGCACAAUGGGCGGAAGCCUGAUGCAGCAACGCCGCGUGCGGGAUGACGGCCUUCGGGUUGUAAACCGCUUUCGCCUGUGACGAAGCGUGAGUGACGGUAAUGGGUAAAGAAGCACCGGCUAACUACGUG
rnacentral:rRNA from 1 species